rnacentral:lncRNA from 1 species
AUCUGUUGGAUGGAUCGAGCUGUGCGAUUAGAGGCAUCGGGACGGUCAGCUGGAGGACACAUGAUGAUGCAGUGAGAAGAUUGAGGGAUGUCAGAUAUAUAUCCGAUUUCAGACAGAAUCUUAUCUCACUGAGUAGACUGGAUUCGAGAGGCUACAGGAUAGUAGCUGGUGGAAGAAUCUUGAAGGUGCUAUGCGACGAUAGGAUUAUUCUGGAGGGGA